GGGGUUGUAGCACAGUGGCAUAAGCAUCUGCCUGGCAAGCUGAAGGCCCUGAGCUACAUUCUCAGUACUCCCC
rnacentral:tRNA from 1 species